rnacentral:lncRNA from 1 species
AUUGAUCAAGAUGAAUUAGAUUUGAAUCAAGGAAGAUUAAGUCUCCCUAAUCAAUGCUAACUUAUCAACCUUUAACUCAUUGAUCAAAAAAAUAAAAAGAAGAAGAAGAAGAAAGAGAUGAAUAAUGGAAAAGGAAAAGGAAAGAAAUAAAGUGCAUAAGGUGAAAUAAAAUGUACCAAUCCAUGUGUGUUGACCAAAUGACAUUUG